UCUGAGGUCAAACUCCUCAUCACACCUGAGAGAACUGGAUCUGAAGGGUAAUAAACCAGGAGAAUCAGGAGUGAAGCUGCUCUCUGAUCUACUGAAGGAUCCACACUGUAACCUGGAGACACUACACAUUAACUAUAAUAAACUCACCAGGACUGGCGUAUGACGGGAGUCUCACCUCAAACCUCUUCUCCAGGAUAAAGCAGUCUUGGUGAAGAGUUAGAACCCGUCCCACAUUUCCAGCAGUUUGGGAGCUGAAUCAUUAAACUUAAAGGGGCAGAGCAGAAACAAAGUCAAGAACAGGCAGAAGGUCGUACACAGGAGAAAUCAACACACGUAACCAAAUAUCUGCUGUACAAAGCAACGGCACCGAUCUGCCCCGGGGAUGGAGACUGACGAGGCUUAAGUACACGUCCGGAAAUGUACAGCCAACUCAUCCCAAAGCACGAGGCGGGAGCAGGCGUGUACGAGAUGUGAUCGUCCAAUGGCAAGCCGGAACAUGACGCACUGCAGUGGGCUGGGCUUAAAAGAGGAGGAGACAAGACACCCAUCCCUCCCCGACAUAGACACACGAAUGGAACACAGUACAAACAGAAAUACAACUGAGGACGUAACAAUGGCCAAGUAUCAAAUAAAAUGUAAACUUGCAUUGAUGAAGUUAAUGUUGUUAGUAAAUGUUUAUAAAUUACCAUGGUAACACAGAGCUCCAAGGUAUAAAAAUAUGGAGUUUGUCAUCAAUCAAACAGUAACCAGUUUUAAAACCUAAAAAAGUUUACGUAGCAAAAUUUAGCAAAGCGCUUUACAGUAAAUUAAAAUGUAAAAUUAAACUAAUGAAAUGUUGUGCAGCACAUGCUUAUGUUAAUGUUUGUUACAUUAUAUGAUCAUAUAAAUAAAUAAAUACUCCCAAAGUCA